CCGCCAUCUUGGCUUGGAACUUCCCUCAGCGGCUUGGUGCUAGAAAGUUCUGGAUUUGAGGCUUUUCCAUGCCGCUCCCUGUAAGUCAGUGAAAGUAGACUAAAAACAAAAGAAAAGGCAAGAAAAAAACGACAAAAAAAAAAGUCGUUUCCGACUCUGCGACCCCAUGGACUGUAGGCCGCCGGGCUCUUCUGUCCAUGGGGAUUCUCCAGGCAAGAAUAUUGGAAUGGGUAGCCUUUCCCUUCUCCAGGGGAUCUUCCCAACCCACGGAUCGAACCCAAGUCUCCCACAUUUGCAAACAGAUUCUUUAUACCACCUGAGGCGAGGGAAGCCCAAGAAUCCACAAUUAUAUAAGGAUCGUCCUGACCCAGGGAUCAAACCCGGGUCUCCCACAUUGUAGGCCGAUUCUUUCCCGCCUGAGCCACCAGGGAUGCCCAGAUAUUAAAGCCUACAUCUGCCACGCCCAGCCUCCCCUGUGCUGCUUCUGCUUUUCUGCCCUCACCGCAGUCCUGGCUGAUGAGGCUCUGCCUUCUGUCUGGAGGGGCCGGACUGAAGACUUCUUCCAGCGAUCAUCUCCAAGCCGCUGUCUUGGGCAGUUUCGUAAGCUGUCUUGACAUCUGAAUUGUCUCCAUGUCUAGAUGGAGCUAAACGGUCUUACCUAUGGCUGCAAGUGAGGCCUGCUGCUUGCAGGGAGAUUACCCUGGGGCCUGGCUUCCCUGUAUUGAGUCUCUUUCCCAGCCCUUCCUGUGGGCCGUCUCUUUCACGAGUGGUUUCUGAACCGUGAGACGAAGGUGACCACCUUGGGGACCAAGGGGUUCUAGCACAUCCAGUUAAAAAGGCAGGCGAACCUUGGGAGUUGUCUCUGGGAGUCAUCUAGCCUGUGGAACUUCCUCCAUAUAAAUUGUUUUAAAAGCAGAUUGCCUUCCUGAGGAGCAGCCCCCACGCCCCCUUAAGUCCAGCCAGCCCAGUCAUCCCACAGCACAGCCUGGCUCCCGGGACCUAAGGCCCCUCCGUCCCUUUGCUCCACGUCACUGGCUCUUAGCAGCUUCCUCCUGCUUGGAGAUGAAAGGCUGUGUCUGAAAGGUCAGUUCUGAUGAUGCUGGCUGUUUAAUUAAAGUCACCUGAAUUGCUCACGUCUUUAUUGCAGUCAUCCGAACACCUGGUUUAGUUCUGAUACAUGGGUCCCAAAGGAGUCACUGACGUUUCUUCAAAAAUUGGUUGCAAACUGAGCUGCUUUCAAAAGUCUCUCCUCUGGGAUGGGAUUGUGUGUGGCAGCUGGAGAGGCGUCCUGACCUUCACCUCCCCCGCUCCUGUGCUAGGCCCCUGUGCUCCCAAGGACAGAGCACUAGAUAACCUUGCUGGACUUGGAGGAAGACUCCCAGUUUGAAUAAAUAUGCAUCUCAAAACUGGCAGGUUUCUGAACUCUUGUGGAGCCACUGGAAAAUGUUACUCCUAAAGUGACUUGGAAGAAAGUCAUUCAGGGUCCAGGAGGCCUCGCUGUGUGUUUCCAGGCAUGUCAGGUCUGACACGGGAAGGCGGUGGUGAUGGCACUGGAGCUGGUCGCUGGUGGCGGGCGAUGGGAAUGGGGCUGAGGUCGAAGCCUGCCAGUGUCGUUGCUCGAGGGUUUGCUCUUACUUUUGCUUUCCAAAGAAGAUCAGGUCAGAACACAGAGCGGACUGCUAAGUCACUUCAGCCGUGUCCGACUCUGUGUGACCCCAUAGACGGCAGCCCACCAGGCUCCCCCGCCCCUGGGAUUCUCCAGGCAAGAACACUGGAGUGGGUUGCCAUUUCCUUCUCCAAUGCAUGAAGGUGAAAAGUGAAAGUGAAGUCGCUCAGUCGUGUCCGGACUGUUCGCGACCCCAUGGACUGCAGCCUACCAGGCUCCCCCGUCCAUGGGAUUUUCCAGGCAAGAGUUCUGGAGUGGGGUGCCAUUGCCUUCUCUGCAGAGUGGACCAGAGGGUAAUAAAUGGUACCAUCCCUGUAGCCUUGUGUGAUUUCCUCUUGUUGGCUAGCUUCACGAGAGCCACACAAAAUGACGUGAGUCACAGGCACUUUUCUUGUUUCCCAGUGCAUAUGACUGAUGCUGACGCUGCUGUUUCUGUUCUUUUGUUGCUGUUUGGUCGCUAAGUCGUGUCCAACUCUUUUGUGAACCCAGGGACCAUAGCCCGCCAGGCUCCUGUGCCCAGGUAAGGGUACUGGAGUGGGCUGCCAUUACCUGCUCUGGACAAAAAUAAAUAUUAAGACAUCUUUUUUUUUUCUCCUCCUCUCCCUCCAUUAGCAGCUCUUUCUUUCUUUCUUUCCUUUUUUUAAAAUCAGUUAUAAUUGUGAUAACCACACAAUUCACUUGCUUUACUUGUACAAUUCAGUGAUUUGGGAUGUAUUUACAGAAUUGUGUAACUAUCACUGCUGGCAUAGAGCUUUUGUUUUUGUCUUGUUUUUGUUACUUGGCAUAUGAGAUUUUAGUUCCCCAGCCAGGAGUUGAACCCAUGCCCCCUGCAUUAGAAGCAUGGAGUCUUCUGCUGGACUGCUAGCAGCUCUUCCUAACCAACAGAGUGGAUGAUGUUCAAAACGACAGUGUAGGGGGAAGUUGGAGAUGUAUCUGAAUCUACUCCUCUUUAUCCAAGACUACUCUUUCUCUUCCCUAUAAAAAUCUCCAGUGAGGCUCUACUUUUUUCCUUCAUCAGUUUAAGGAUUUGUCUUAAGCUCAGCUAGAGAUUUAAGGCUCUCAUAGACCGAGAUGCAAUUCUUAAGCUAAAGCUUCAUUAUUU
ensembl:lncRNA